AGGUGAAUUUAUUAGAAUCUUAAAAUGGGAAAGGCCUAAGGAGGACUCAAACCUUAUAAGCCAUAAAGCAAAAGAUUGAGAAGUCUGACCUCAUAAAAAUACAAAACUUCUCUGGGUGAAAACACCCUUAAAAAUUCUGAGGAAGAAGAAAAAAGUCAAACUAUGGAGGAAAUGUUGCAGGCAUUUGAUGAAAAGGUAAUUUUUCUUAAUUGACAAAGCAGUCAUCAAGAAACUCAGUAAAGAAAAUGAUUUUACUCAAUUGCACAGUGGACAGUUCACGAAGAAAGAAAUUAAAAUGGCAAAAAAAAAAAA